rnacentral:rRNA from 1 species
CUUAAUUCAAAAUACAACUUUCAACAACGGAUCUCUUGGCUCUCGCAUCGAUGAAGAACGCAGCGAAAUGCGAUACGUAAUGUGAAUUGCAGAAUUCAGUGAAUCAUCGAAUCUUUGAACGCACAUUGCACUCUCUGGUAUUCCGGAGAGUAUGCUUGUUUGAGUAUCAGUAAACACCUCAAAUCUCUACAUUCGUGUUGAGAAUUGGACUUGAGCAAUCCCAACUCUUUGCAAAAAGGGGCGGGUUGCUUGAAAUGCAGGUGCAGCUGGACAUUCUUCUGAGCUAAAAGCAUAUUUAUUUAGUCCCGUCAAACGGAUUAUUACUUUUGCUCUAGCUAACAUAAAGGUCGAAUGAACUAUACGCUGACUGAUGCAGGAUUACCAAGUUUCCGUCAAAAGAAACUUGUAAACUCGAUCUCAAAUCAAGUAAGACUACCCGCUGAACUUAAGCAUAUCAAUAAGCGGAGGAA